GCUGGUUAUCCAGGCAAAUCCGGAUAAUCAAGGCGGAUGUGUGAUGACGAGGCACUACAGUGCUGAAGUAACAAAUGCCCUGCUUCCAGGAAAAGCCUCUAAGCAUCAGGUAACAUCAAAUCGUACCCCAAACCGACACAGGUGGUCAGGUAGAGAAUACCAAGGCGCUUGAGAGAACUCGGGUGAAGGAACUAGGCAAAAUGGUGCCGUAACUUCGGGAGAAGGCACGCUGGUGUGUAGGUGAAGUCCCUGCGGAUGGAGCUGAGACCAGUCGAAGAUACCAGCUGGCUGCAACUGUUUAUUAAAAACACAGCA
rnacentral:rRNA from 1 species